rnacentral:rRNA from 1 species
UCUGUUUAACAAAAACAUGUCUGUAUGAAGUUAAAUAGAGUCUAUUCUGCCCAUUGAAUAUAAAAUUUGAAAGGCCGCAGUAUUCUGACUGUGCAAAGGUAGCAUAAUCAUUAGUUUUUUAAUUGAAGGCUUGUAUGAAUGAUUGGACAAGAAUUAGACUGUCUCUCCCGAUCCAUUUUGAAAUUUAUUUUUAAGUGAAAAAGCUUAAAUGGUUAAGAAAGACGAUAAGACCCUAUAAAUCUUUAUGUAAAUCAACCUUUGGAUUUAAAUAUAAAUUUAAACUGGUCUAAAGGAAUGAAUUCAUUGUACUGGGGCGGUAAAGAUAUAGAAAAUAAACUGUCAUAAUAAAAAACAAAAAUAUUUGUGAAGUAAAAGAUCCUGAUUACGGAUUGAAAGAAAAAGUUACUUUAGGGAUAACAGCAUAAUUUCUUUAGAGAGUUCAAAUCGAAAAAGAAGCUUGUGACCUCGAUGUUGAAUUAAGAGAUCCUUCAUGGUGCAGCAGCUAUGGGAGGGAGUCUGUUCGACUCUUAAAUUCUUACAUGAUCUGAGA